rnacentral:rRNA from 1 species
ACUCCUACGGGAGGCAGCAGUGGGGAAUAUUGCACAAUGGGCGCAAGCCUGAUGCAGCCAUGCCGCGUGUAUGAAGAAGGCCUUCGGGUUGUAAAGUACUUUCAGCAGUGAGGAAGGUGGGUAUGUUAAUAGCAUAUUCAUUUGACGUUAGCUGCAGAAGAAGCACCGGCUAACUCCGUGCCAGCAGCCGCGGUAAUACGGAGGGUGCGAGCGUUAAUCGGAAUUACUGGGCGUAAAGCGCAUGCAGGUGGUUUGUUAAGUCAGAUGUGAAAGCCCGGGGCUCAACCUCGGAAUUGCAUUUGAAACUGGCAAACUAGAGUACUGUAGAGGGGGGUAGAAUUUCAGGUGUAGCGGUGAAAUGCGUAGAGAUCUGAAGGAAUACCGGUGGCGAAGGCGGCCCCCUGGACAGAUACUGACACUCAGAUGCGAAAGCGUGGGGAGCAAACAGGAUUAGAUAACCUGGUAGGCUCAGC